GACGAACGCUGGCGGCGUGCCUAACACAUGCAAGUCGAACGGAAAGGUCCCUUUGGGGGUACUCGAGUUGCGUACGGGUGAGUAACAUGUGAGUAACCUGCCCUUGACUUCGGGAUAUCUCCAGGAAAACCGGGCUAAUACCGGAUAGGAAUCCUUGCUGCCUGAUGGGUGUUGGCAAGUAUCGGCGGCUUUGGGUGGAGUCGCGGCUUUUCAGCUUCUUGGUGGGGUAGUGGCUUACCAAGGCUUUGCCGGGUAGCCGGCCUGAGAGGGCGACCGGCCACAGUGGGACUGAGAUACGGCCCAGACUCCGACGGGAGGCAGCAGUGGGGAAUAUUGCACAAUGGGCGGAAGCCUGAUGCAGCAACGCCGCGUGCGGGAUGACGGCCUUCGGGUUGUAAUCCGAUUUCAGCAGGGGCGAAGCUUGUGGUGACGGUACCUGCAGAAGAAGCACCGGCUAACUACGUG
rnacentral:rRNA from 1 species